UACGAAGGGGGCUAGCGUUGCUCGGAAUCACUGGGCGUAAAGCGCACGUAGGCGGCUUUUUAAGUCAGGGGUGAAAUCCUGGAGCUCAACUCCAGAACUGCCUUUGAUACUGGGAAGCUUGAGUCCGGGAGAGGUGAGUGGAACUCCGAGUGUAGAGGUGAAAUUCGUAGAUAUCGGGAGGAACACCGGUGGCGAAGGCGGCGACCUGGGUAGAUACUGACGCUGAGGUGCGAAAGCGUGGGGAGCAAACAGG
rnacentral:rRNA from 1 species